rnacentral:lncRNA from 1 species
UUGGUCAAUUUCACACUUUAUUUCUUGGAUGCAAAAAUUAUUUUCUUUUUUUUUAAAUAUAUUUUAUUUGAUCAUUUCCAAGCAUUAUUCGUUAAAGACAUAGAUCAUUUUCUUUUCCUCCCCUCCCAACCCCCAUAGCCGACGCGUAGAUCCACUGGGCAUUGGAUGUUUUCUUGAUUUAAAUGCAUUGCUUUGUUGAUAAUAUUUGGAUUAGAGUGUUCAUUUAGAGUCUCUCCUCUGUCAUGUCCCCUCAACCACUGUAUUCAGGCAGUUGCUCUUCCUCGAUGUUUCCACUCCCAUAGUUACACAGAGACUGAUACACUGUGGUACAAUCGAAGGGAAGAGCAGAGCCAGCCAGGAGAAAAUGUGGAGGCAGAGGAAGACAAUAGUUCCCUUGGAAGAGCUGUGACUACUAGAAAAGUACUGUCCCGCUCAGGGAAGAGCAGAGCCAGCCAGGAGAGAAUGUGGAAGCAGAGGAAGACAAUAGUUUCCUUGGAAGAGCUGUGACUACUAGAAAAGUACUGUCCUGGUGAGUGUACUCUUUUUGUGACUUCUAGAAAAGUACUGUCCUGGUGAGUAUACUCUUUAUCUCUCAUCCAAAAUUUUGGGGGAGGGAGCAAGAGUGGAGAUCUGCUGGGAAAAGGGACCCACUGAGCCUCCAGUCAGCUUUUUGCUACUUGUAAAGAAAAAGACUGCCCCAAAUCCUAGUGGUGUGGGAGGAGGUGGGGGGUAGUGACUAGCCCAAGGUCACACAGAGUGUCACGUUAUUCAAAUACAGGAAAAUCUUGAUACUGUAAAUUUAAAUCAAUAUCCAAUGACUCCAAGAAUUAGAUUUUAUAAGAUUUAAUAAUAAUUACUUGAAGCAGAAGGAAUAAAAGGACAAAAGUAAUAGGCUAAGUACA